rnacentral:lncRNA from 1 species
AAAACCCCUAUGAGCAUGGCUGGACUAGGAGAAAAACAGAAUUUUGAGAAGAGGAAAGUGAAAAGUUUCUAUUGGAGCUAUACUUUUGCAUAGCUCAUCUCAAAGCAGAAUCUCCUAAAUAGGUAACAUUCACCAAACUAUUUAAGUGAAAAAUACAAGUCCCUAAAUUUCUGCUUUAUUGAAAAUUUAGAUUGGAGAAGGAAGAAAUAAAAAGAAAGAAGUAUGUAGAUCAUAAGAACAGAGAAGACAAGGAUCCUUCACCCUGAUGCUUUGCAGUGCAGAUGGUGAGAUCUCACGACCCCAGAGAGGAAAUGGCUGUGACAGGGUCUCGCUCUGUCAUCCAGGCUGGAGUGCACGAUCUCAGCUCACUGCAACCUCCGCCUCCUGGGUUCAAGUGAUUCUCCUGCCUCAGCCUCCCGAGCAGCUGGGAUUACAGGUGCCGGCCACAACACCCAGAUAAUUUUUGUAUUUUUGGUAGAGACGGGAUUUCACCAUGUUGGCCAGGCUGGUCUCGAACUCCUGACCUCAAGUGAUUCGCCUGCCUUGGCCUCCCAAAGUGCUGGGAUUACAGCACUUAAGUCCUCUGGUUUAUGACUUAAUUUCUCAACUAAGUUUUGAUGGUGGAUUUCUUAUUAUAAAGAUAUUUGAUAAUAAAUAAUAACAUUUCAAUAUGGGCAACAUGGCGAAACCCUGUCUCUACAAAAAAUACAAAAAUUAGUCCAGCGUGGUGGUGUGCACCUGUAGUCCCAGCUACCCAAGAGGCUGAGGUGGGAGGAUCACCUGAGACCGGGAAGGUCGAGGCUGCAGUGAACUGUAAUCGUAUCACUGCACUCCAACCUGGGCGACAAGAGUGAGACCUUGUCUAAAAAAAAAUUAAAUAAAUAAAUGAUAACAUUAAUAAACUGAACAAUUUCUUGAAAAACACCCACAUGGAAUUUGCGUGUAUUUUUGUUGGUUCUCAUUUUUUUUUUUUACCCUUUAUCACAGUCAGUUGUUCUGUUGCAUAUAUUUCUGAUUUGUAAAAAAAAAAAAAAAAAAAAAAAAAAAAAAAAAGAAAUGGAAAAAUAAUUCAAUAAUCUGAUAAAUAAAUGCCAACUCCAUAUUUAAUAGUGAAACAUUAGAGCCCGAUUUUCUAUUACUGCUCCUAAUGUACUCAUUCCAUAUGAGUACAUGAAUAGGG